GAUGAACGCUAGCUACAGGCUUAACACAUGCAAGUCGAGGGACCGGCGCACGGGUGAGUAACACGUAUCCAACCUGCCCUUUACUCGGGGAUAGCCUUUUGAAAGAAAGAUUAAUACCCGAUGUAAAGGUUGGGGAUGCGUUCAAUUAGGUUGUUGGUGAGGGAACGGCUCACCAACCCUGCGAUGGAUAGGGGUUCUGAGAGGAAGGUCGCCCACAUUGGAACUGAGACCCGAUCCAAACUCCUACGUGAGGCAGCAGUGAGGAAUAUUGGUCAAUGGGCGUUAGCCUGAAACAGCCAAGUAGCGUGAAGGAUGAAGGCUUAUGGGUCGUAAACUUCUUUUAUAUAAGAAUAGGUAUUAUAUGAAUAAGGAUCGGCUAACUCCGUGCCAGCAGCCGCGGUAAUAC
rnacentral:rRNA from 1 species